rnacentral:rRNA from 1 species
UACGGAGGGUGCAAGCGUUAAUCGGAAUUACUGGGCGUAAAGCGUGCGCAGGCGGUUUGUUAAGUCUGCUGUGAAAUCCCCGGGCUCAACCUGGGAAUGGCGAUGGAUACUGGGCAGCUAGAGUGUGUCAGAGGAUGGUGGAAUUCCCGGUGUAGCGGUGAAAUGCGUAGAGAUCGGGAGGAACAUCAGUGGCGAAGGCGGCCAUCUGGGACAACACUGACGCUGAGGCACGAAAGCGUGGGGAGCAAACAGG